AGUAAAUUACUCGGGUAUUCAGUACGACAUUGCUCACAUUGCUUCCAGUAUUUUUGCCCGCACUUGUGCGGGCUUUUUUUU
rnacentral:antisense_RNA from 1 species